ACAACACCAUAUCUCCGAGCCAUGCGUCCUAACAGGGCAAACCUCAUGGGGCCUGGCCAACGGGUUUCGCUGGAAACGGCGGAGCCUCCCUUUCGGGAAGGAGUCCUACCGGCGUUGCG
rnacentral:ncRNA from 2 species